rnacentral:rRNA from 1 species
UACUACGGCCAUACCACCCUGAACGCGCCCGAUCUCGUCUGAUCUCGGAAGCUAAGCAGGGUCGGGCCUGGUUAGUACUUGGAUGGCAGACAAAGGAAUGGAAAUAAUAAACAGACCACUGUGCAAU